rnacentral:rRNA from 1 species
GGUCAAGGGAAAAAGGGCGCGCGGUGGAUGCCUUGGUGCCGAGAGCCGAUGAAGGGCGUGGCAAGACUGCGAUAAGCCUCGGUGAGCUGUCUAGCAAGCACAGCCGGGGAUACCCGAAUGGGGCAACCCAGCACGGGAAGACCGUGUUACUGUGGGCUGAAUCACAAUAGGCCCAUGGAGGCAAGUGGGGGAACUGAAACAUCUUAGUACCCUGAAGAAAAGAAAUCAACCGAGAUUCCCCUAGUAGUGGCGAACGAACGGGGAUCAGCCUAAACCCUGGGGGCUUAGUGGACGGCGGUCCUAUGCCUUCGGGGUGUUGUAAGUCAUGGCGUGGAGGGGCUGCCGCCUCUCCGGAGAGUUACAAACCGAACUCUAGCCGAACGCCUCUGGAACGGGCGACCACAGGGGGUGAGAGUCCCGUAGGCGAAAGAGGUAGGCUCUCUGUCAUGUACUUGAGUACCGCGGGGCACGAGAAACCCUGCGGGAAGCUGGGGGGACCAUCCUCCAAGGCAAAAUACUCUCGGCAACCGAUAGUGAACCAGUACCGUGAGGGAAAGGUGAAAAGCACCCCGGAAGGGGAGUGAAAUAGAUCUGAAACCGCGUGCCUACAAGCGGUCAGAGUCCCGACGCAAGUCGGGAUGAUGGCGUGCCUAUUGAAGAAUGAGCCAGCGAGUUAAUCAGCGUAGCCAGAUUAAGCGAUUCAGUCGCGGAGUCGAAGCGAAAGCGAGUCUGAACAGGGCGUUUAGUUGCGCUGAUUACACCCGAAACCGGGUGAGCUAACCAUGGCCAGAGUGAAGCGGGAGUAACAUCUCGUGGAGGCUCGAACUCUUUAACGUGGCAAAGUUAUGAGAUGAGUUGUGGUUAGAGGUGAAAUGCCAAUCGAACCCGGAGAUAGCUGGUUCUCCCCGAAAUGCAUUUAGGUGCAGCCUCGGUUAUAACUCCAGGAGGUAGAGCUCUGGAUGGGCUAGGGGGAGAGACUCUUACCAAACCCAACCAAACUGCAAAUGCCUGGACUUCAGACCGGGAGUGAGACGGCGGGGGAUAAGCUUCGUCGUCGAGAGGGAAACAGCCCAGACCAUCAGCUAAGGGCUCCAAAUACGGGCUAAGUGGUAAAGGAUGUGUAUCCGCACAGACAGCCAGGAUGUUGGCUUAGAAGCAGCCAUCAUUCAAAGAGUGCGUAAUAGCUCACUGGUCGAGUGGAUAUGCGCCGAUAAUGUAGCGGGGCUUAAGCCCGUUCCCGAUGCUAUGGGAUAGCUGCGAUGAGCAUCUAUCGGUAGGGGAGCGUUCCCUGGGCAGAGAAGUCAGGACGUGAGUCCUGGUGGAGCGCAGGGAAGUGAGAAUGCUGGCAUGAGUAGCGUACAAAAGCGUGUGAGAAACACGCUCACCGUAAGCCUAAGGUUUCCUACGAAAGGUUAAUCCGCGUAGGGUUAGUCGGGCCUAAGCCGAGGCAGAUAUGCGUAGGCGAUGGACAACUGGUCAUUAUUCCAGUACUGGUCGAUGCCGUUGAACCCCGGGUGACACAGGGGGAUAGGCUGAGCGCGCCCAUCGGACAUGGCGCGUCCCCGAACUUAUGGCAAGGAUUGGCGGGCAACUGCCUCUUCAAGCCCAGGUGAGGGGGAAGCUGCGGGGAGACCCAAGGCGAUUCGGUCGAGUCCGUACUGUCCAGAAAAGCCCCGGGCGGAGGCGUCGAUCACCCGUACCGUAAACCGACACUGGUAGGCGGGAGCAAGUGCUCCAAGGUGAUCGAGAGAACCCUCGUUAAGGAACUCGGCAAGAUUGACCCCGUAACUUCGGGAGAAGGGGUGCCUUUGGGGGUGACAGUUCACCGGCGCUGUUUUCGGAUAGCGCCGGGAAGAAGGAGCCUCCGGAGGCCGCAGAGAGCGGGCCCGAGCGACUGUUUAACAAAAACACAGGUUUCUGCAAAAGCGCAAGCUGAUGUAUAGGAGCCGAUACCUGCCCAGUGCCGGAAGGUUAAGGGGAGAGGUUAGCGUAAGCGAAGCUUUGAGCCGAAGCCCCGGUGAACGGCGGCCGUAACUAUAACGGUCCUAAGGUAGCGAAGUCCCUUGUCGGGUAAGUUCCGACCCGCACGAAAGGUGUAACGACUUGGGCGCUGUCUCAACGAGGGACUCGGUGAAAUUGAAGUACCCGUGAAGAUGCGGGUUUCCCGCGACUGGACAAAAAGACCCCAUGGAGCUUUACUGCAGCUUGGCAAUGAGUCGACGCCCGGCAUGUGUAGCAUAGGUGGGAGGCUUUGAAGCCCCGACGCCAGUCGGGGUGGAGCCGUCACUGAAAUACCACUCUUGUCAGGUUUUUACUCUAACCUGUGAACAAGCACAGAGACAUUGCCUGGUGGGCAGUUUGACUGGGGCGGUCGCCUCCCAAAAGGUAACGGAGGCGCGCAAUGGUCCCCUCAGGAUGGUCGGAACUCAUCCGCGGCGUGUAAGCGCAUAAGGGGGCUUGACUGUGAGACAGACCCGUCGAACAGAGACGAAAGUCGGCGCUAGUGAUCCGGCAGUAGCUGGUGGACGCGCUGUCGCCAAACGGAUAAAAGCUACCCUGGGGAUAACAGGCUGAUCUUGCCCAAGAGUCCACAUCGACGGCAAGGUUUGGCACCUCGAUGUCGGCUCGUCGCAUCCUGGGGCUGUAUCGGGUCCCAAGGGUUGGGCUGUUCGCCCAUUAAAGCGGUACGCGAGCUGGGUUCAGAACGUCGUGAGACAGUUCGGUCCCUAUCCAUCGUGGGCGUAAGAGGACUGCGAGGAGCUGCCGCCAGUAUGAGAAGACCGCGGUGGACUGACCGCUGGUGUAUCGGUUAUCUCACCCGAGGUACAUGCCGAGUAGCUAGGUCGGGCCCGGAUAAGCGCUGACAGCAUCUAAGCGCGAAGCCGCCCUCAAGAUGAAUCCUCUCUCUGGGUCAACCAGGUAAGGCCCCCGGAAGAGUACCGGGUGAAGCGGCCGGGCGUGGACAGCGGGUAACCGUUGAAGCG